UACGUAGGGAGCGAGCGUUAAUCGGAUUUACUGGGCGUAAAGCGUGCGCAGGCGGCCAGUUAAGACAGGUGUGAAAUCCCUGGGCUCAACUUAGGACUUGCGCUUGAGACUGGCGGGCUAGAGUGCGGAAGGGGGAGGUGGAAUUCCUGGUGUAGCAGUGAAAUGCGUAGAGAUCAGGAGGAACACCGAUGGCGAAGGCAGCUCCCUGGGCCUGUACUGACGCUCAUGCACGAAAGCGUGGGGAGCAAACAGG
rnacentral:rRNA from 1 species